UACGAAGGGUGCAAGCGUUAAUCGGAAUUACUGGGCGUAAAGGGUGCGUAGGCGGUUCGUUAAGUCUGUCGUGAAAUCCCCGGGCUCAACCUGGGAAUGGCGAUGGAUACUGGCGAGCUAGAGUGUGGCAGAGGAUGGUGGAAUUCCCGGUGUAGCGGUGAAAUGCGUAGAGAUCGGGAGGAACAUCAGUGGCGAAGGCGGCCAUCUGGGACAACACUGACGCUGAAGCACGAAAGCGUGGGGAGCAAACGGG
rnacentral:rRNA from 1 species